rnacentral:ncRNA from 1 species
ACUGACACAGCCAGCGAGUACUCCCCUUGGCCGGAAGGCCCGAGUAAUCUUGUUAAAUUGUGUCGUGCUGGGAAUAGAGCAUUGCAAUUAUUGCUCUUCAAC